UGCAUGGUGGCGCAGUUGGUAGCACUGUUGGCUUGCAGCAAGAAGGUCCUGGGUUCAAUUCCUGGCUUUCUGCAU